GGGCAAUGCAGAGAAAAAUGGAUCUGACUUCCUUCAGCACACAAUGAACACAAGUUUUUGAAUCUAGGCUCAGGUAGUGAAGAUUUAAAAAGUAAUACUGUCAUGAACUUCCUGGAAGGAAAUUGCCAAGUAAAAAUUUAGAUGUAAUCCAAUAAAAUGUGAAAUGGAGACAUCUGCUCCAAAUGAAGAAGACCAUAUGAAAUUCUCGAAAGUUUAUGUGCCGAUUAACAAGACUUUUUUCAGAGCUUAUUAUACACCCAGGCUCUGUAUUGGGAAUGGGGGAAACAACGGUAAAUAUGGCUCGCUCCUUUCUGUCGAAGAAGUCUCCCCUUAAAGGAGGGAGGAACACUUCCCUCAUCAUAGACAGUCACCAUGUGCUGUGAUAAGUGCAGCGACAGAAGAGGUACAGAGCGGUGGCACUGCGUUCAGAGAAGUUGCUGAGGAAGGCUUGGAAAGUUGACAGCUUUGCAAGAUCCGUGUCAGCCAGGGAAAAUAACAACACGAGAACAAAACAACUCAGAAGGGAAAAAAUGUCCUCGUAUUCUGCAUUUGGAUAAACUCCAAGUAUGAAGGAGGAAGUAGAAAAUCUCUUAAUAUGGCUUUUUAAAAAAAGGGCCAAACAGGUCCUUCUACAUAUAUUAGUAUGCCAAGAUGGCGCACAUGCAGGAAUGCAAUCCUAAACACAGCGGCUACCUGCCUGGCUAUGAAUAUGUGACGGAACUGUGACAGGGAUGUUGGUGCUGAGUGUGCUAUAACACAUCAGAGAUUGUGUGUGUGUGUGUGUGUGUGUUUCUAUAUUUGGCACGUAAGGUCUCGUUUGA